rnacentral:rRNA from 1 species
AAACGAUGUGCGCUAGGUGUGGGGGCCGCCUUGCCCCCGUGCCGCAGCCAACGCAUUAAGCGCACCGCCUGGGGAGUACGGCCGCAAGGCUAAAACUCAAAGGAAUUGACGGGGGCCCGCACAAGCAGCGGAGCAUGUGGCUUAAUUCGAAGCAACGCGAAGAACCUUACCAGGGCUUGACGUGCCGGUGAAGCGGCGGAAACGCCGUGGCCGGAAGGAGCCGGCGCAGGUGGUGCAUGGCUGUCGUCAG